GAUGAACGCUGGCGGCAUGCUUAACACAUGCGAGUCGAACGGGAAGUGGUGGUUCCAGUGGCGGGCGGGUGAGUAACGCGUAAGAAACUGAUAUGGGGAUGGGAACAACAGCUGGAAACGGUAGCUAAUACCCAGUAGGCUGAGGAGCAAAAGGAGGAAGCCGCCCGAGGAGGGGCUCGCGUCUGAUCAGCUAGGUGGUGGGGCAAGAGCUUAGCAAGGCGAUGAGUAGUCGCGGGUACGAGAGGACGAUCAGCCCCGCUGGUACUGGGCCGCGGCCCCGCCUCCUGCGGGAAGCAGUAGUGGAUAAUGCUCCGCACUCGGAGGCAGCCUGCAGCAGCACUGCCUCGGGGAGGUAGAACUCCUGCGGGUCGUCCUCUUCUUUUCCCGGAGAAGCAGCAAUGACGGUACCUGCAGAAUAAGCACCGGCUAACUCCGUG
rnacentral:rRNA from 1 species